rnacentral:misc_RNA from 1 species
GCCUGGUCGCAAGCUCGACCGCAACUGCUUGCAGCGACUAGUCUGUGCGCUCGAAAGAUUUUAUAUAGUCAUACGGGUCCGCCUAGUGCUUCAGUUUGGUGCUUAGACGCGGUGCGCGUGCUUCGAAACGCUGUACAGCAUUUGGAAUUCGUCUUGUAUUUGUGCGACUGCGUUCAGUGAUCAGAUCUAGAUUAGCUGACCGCUUAGUGGUCGAAAUAGCCGAGCCCUUGGGGCAUAACACAAGCAACGUAUAAUAAAAGAGUAUCCUGUUGGCCGAAAACUAGUCCAAAAAUAUUCCGAAUAUUAUACAAAGGCGACUGCAGUGUUUCCCCAGUGCUCUGUGAAAUACAAUAAUAAUACAAUAUUCAGUUCGUACAUUCAGCAAUUGCGACAAAAUUUGUUUAAAAUGUUAGCCAAGUGGACCAUGUCGCAAAAGGGAUUAAAACACCUGCUUGGACUUGUAGCUGUUAUUACAAUACUUUCGGAUUUACCAGUGGUUCAGGCUGUACGGAUCGGCGCUCCACAGCAAAAGCAACGCAUUAAAGACAAACAACCGGAUCAAACAUCGGCCGGCUCCUACUGGCAGCAGCAUGUGGCCACACCCAGCAGCUCGACGCCCUUCGACUCGCCCUUCUUUUCAGCGACGCAUGGCCUUGUGCAGACGCACCCUUCACUGGGCGCUGGUAUUCCACGUCCGGUGCCCCUUAGCAGCAAUACACUGGGCAGUGGAGCCCCGGCCAAUAGCAAUCCAUCCUUGACCGCCGGCAGCGGUUAUCUCAACUCGCGCGGCACCCUGCCCAGCUCCGCACGGUAUCCGCCAAAGAUUAGCGGCACCGUUGUUGAGCCCAAUCCCAAAUCGCCCUUCCGCCAUCUGGAUUUCUCUACAAGUGCCACCGCCGAGCUGCGUCGUAAUCCAGCCCUGUCUGCCCCAGAUGAGUGUGCGCGCGCAUGUCGCGAGGGCGAGCCGCCCAGGAUCUGCUACUAUCACUUUACGCUGGAGUACUACACCGUGCUGGGAGCUGCCUGCCAGGUGUGCACGCCGAAUGCCACGAACACCGUUUGGAGUCACUGUCAGUGCGUUUUGGCCGAUGGUGUUGAGCGUGGCAUACUGACGGCAAACCGAAUGAUACCCGGCCCCAGUAUACAGGUGUGCGAGAACGAUAAGGUUGUCAUUGAUGUGGAGAACCACAUGGAGGGCAUGGAGGUAACCAUUCACUGGCAUGGAAUCUGGCAGCGCGGCUCGCAGUACUACGAUGGUGUGCCGUUCGUCACGCAGUGCCCCAUUCAGCAGGGCAACACGUUCCGGUACCAAUGGACGGGCAAUGCGGGCACCCAUUUCUGGCACUCGCACACUGGACUACAGAAGCUUGAUGGUCUCUACGGCAGCGUUGUGGUGCGGCAGCCGCCUUCACGCGAUCCCAACUCCCAUCUGUACGACUUUGAUUUGACUACGCACAUAAUGCUCAUUAGCGACUGGCUGCAUGAGGAUGCUGCGGAGCGGUACCCGGGCCGCCUGGCCGUGAACACUGGCCAAGAUCCGGAAUCCAUGCUGAUCAACGGCAAAGGCCAGUUCCGUGAUCCCAACACUGGUUUCAUGACAAACACGCCGCUCGAAAUAUUCACAAUUACACCCGGCCGGCGCUAUCGGUUCCGCAUGAUCAACGCCUUCGCCUCGGUUUGCCCAGCGCAGGUGACCAUCGAAGGCCACGGCAUGACAGUAAUUGCAACUGACGGCGAGUCUGUGCAUCCGGUCAACGUCAACACAAUCAUCUCCUUUUCAGGCGAGCGCUAUGACUUUAUUAUCACGGCCGAUCAGCCCGUGGGCGCCUACUGGAUCCAGCUGCGAGGACUCGGCGAGUGCGGCAUUCGUCGAGCUCAGCAGCUAGCUAUCCUGCGCUACGCUAGAGGUCCCUAUCAGCCAGCCUCGGCGCCACCGACCUACGAUGUCGGCAUUCCGCAGGGUGUGGUCAUGAACCCCCUGGACGCUCAAUGUAAUCGUCAACGCAACGAUGCGAUCUGCGUAAGUCAAUUGAAAAAUGCACUCGAAAUCGACCGUGGAAUCCUUGCUGAGAAACCGGACGUUAAGAUUUUCCUGCCAUUCCGUUUCUUUGUCUAUCGCGCUGAGGAUCUCUUCCAACCGAACACCUACAACCGAUUUUUGGUGGCUCCAACUGGCGAUCAUGUCAUCUCGCUUAUCGAUGAGAUAUCCUAUCUAUCCGCGCCGGCCCCGCUCACCUCGCAGUAUAAUGAAAUCAACCCGGAGCAGUUCUGCAAUGGCGACAACCGACCGGCCGAUUGUGGACCCAACUGCAUGUGCACCCAUAAGAUCGACAUACCACUCAAUGCGAUUGUCGAGGUCGUACUAGUGGACGAGGUGCAACAGCCAAACCUGUCACAUCCCUUCCAUUUGCACGGCUACGGAUUCAGUGUGAUCGGUAUCGGUCGCUCGCCCGACUCGACUGUGAAGAAGAUCAACCUGAAGCAUGCGCUGGACCUGGACAGACGCGGUCUCCUGCACAGGCAGUAUAAUCUGCCGCCGACAAAGGAUACCAUUGCGGUGCCCAAUAAUGGCUAUGUGGUGCUGCGCUUUAGAGCUGAUAAUCCCGGUUUCUGGCUUUUCCACUGUCAUUUCCUAUUCCACAUCGUUAUUGGCAUGAAUUUAAUACUGCAAGUCGGCACCAAUGCCGAUCUGCCACCUGUGCCACCAGGUUUUCCAACAUGUGGCGAUCACACUCCACCCAUUCCCAUUAAUUAAGCUAGGCUCUAAUGCAACGGCUCUAACUCAUAGAAGAAACCCGCACAAAAACAAAUACUGAAAGCGAUGAGGACCUGCCUACAGAACGACCAGUUUGUACAAAGUUUUAGAGACAGCACAAUAACACAGAAUCCCCCGAUAAAUACGUUAUCACUGCCGCCUACCUGUAUGAUACUAUUAUUACCUGCCUUCCGCAAAAGCUUGCCUCUGGGUGCACAUUGCUUGCGCCCUACCAAAAGUUGCAUCAAGCAAUUAUUCCCUACCCCUCCUGCACUCUACUUAAUAAUAAUAAUAAUAAUAAUAAAAUAAUAAAAAAUCACGCAUAGUGCACACAGAUGCACUAGAGCAGACGAGGUGCAAUGAAUGAUAUUCUGUAUAAAAGUGUUAACAAUCAUAUUAGUAUGAUUUGGAUGUUUGGAGCAGCCGCCAUAAA